GCGCUGCCUUUGAGCCCCGUUGCGCUUCCUCGUAGCGCCGGGGGUCAGGCUGCAGCGCCAGAGCACAGGCUUGCGUAUAACUGGGGCCGCCUGCCCUCACCGCGGGCGGCCCUUUUAACCGCGAGCGACACGG